rnacentral:rRNA from 1 species
GACGAACGCUGGCGGCGUGCUUAACACAUGCAAGUCGAGCGGAAAGGCCCUUCGUGGUACUCGAGCGGCGAACGGGUGAGUAACACGUGAGUAACCUGCCCCAGACUUUGGGAUAACCCUCGGAAACGGGGGCUAAUACCGGAUACGACACAGCUUCGCAUGGGGUCUGUGUGGAAAGUUUUUCGGUUUGGGAUGGGCUCGCGGCCUAUCAGCUUGUUGGUGGGGUGAUGGCCUAUCAAGGCGACGACGGGUAGCCGGCCUGAGAGGGCGACCGGCCACACUGGGACUGAGACACGGCCCAGACUCCUACGGGAGGCAGCAGUGGGGAAUAUUGCACAAUGGGCGGAAGCCUGAUGCAGCGACGCCGCGUGAGGGAUGACGGCCUUCGGGUUGUAAACCUCUUUCAGCAGGGACGAAGCGUAAGUGACGGUACCUGCAGAAGAAGCGCCGGCAAACUACGUG